GUGCUUGCUUUGGCAGCACACAUAAAAAAUGUAAAAUAAUAAGGAAUAGAUGAGAAUGGUCCUUGUGCGAGAUAACACACAAAUUCGUGAAGUGUUACAUAUUUUU